UACGUAGGGGGCGAGCGUUGUCCGGAGUUACUGGGCGUAAAGGGCGUGCAGGCGGUGCAGUUAGUUUGGAGUGACAGUACCCGGCUCAACUGGGUAAGGCCUUCGAAAACUGCUGGACUUGAGGGCCAGAGAGGGACAUAGAAUUCCGGGUGGAGUGGUGAAAUGCGUAGAUAUCCGGAGGAAUACCAAAGGCGAAGGCAGUGUCCUGGCUGGCAUCUGACGCUGAGGCGCGAAAGCUAGGGGAGCGAACAGG
rnacentral:rRNA from 1 species